GAUAAUAGUCAAGGCACCCUUUAUUGGAGAAAAAAGGACACAUAUCCAAAACCAGACACAACACAAAGACUUGACCACAGUGUGCGGAAUAGCGUUGGAUACACUAGUCCGCUACAGCAUUUUGCAUAUGGUACCUUUAGCACACCCUUAAAGAAACUUCCCUAUCAACAUCAACCAAUCCACGAUACCAUGAAGCACAGCUCUCAUUAAACCUUAGUGAUGGCAGCAAUCAGCUUCCCUCGUCCCAUGGUGAAGCCCUUUGUACCAUCAGGCAUGCGAGGUCCAGGAGGUUGCUUACUCACUGCUGAUACCUCGUUAUUGGUUGGACAACUAGAUGGUGGUGUGCCAACGUUGCGUUGGUAGCCACUAUUUUGGAACGGUACCCAACCACGCCCCCUUCCACCUCGACCCCGUCCCCUCCCUUGCUUAGCCCCGCCACCACAAUCCCUGUCAUUGAGACCAUCAUCACCCAGGCAUCUAUAUAGACAACGAACUCUGAGCCCGCUUCUCCAGUUCCCCUCUUCGUUGAGCUCUGCAACAGCUCUCUCAGCAUCAUCGACACUCUCAUACUCGACAUAUGCAUGCACCUUGCUACCAAAUAGCAUAUCCAUUUUUGUUGACCAAUUAGUUGCAGCAGCAGUACCACUGGGGGUCUGAGGAAAGCAGGUACGGAUGGUCUUCACCCUUCCAACACUGGAAAAUAUUCUCGUAAGGUUUUGGUAACAAUGAUCAUCAGGUAGAUUUUCAGCAACAAUAAUGCGUGACUGUAAUUCUUCAACAUCUGAAUCAGUAAAAGGAUUACGACGGCGUACUUUUUUCCCAUCAUCACUAACAACAAGUCUCGAUGAUGUGCAUAAAGCAUCAGCAAGCAAGGAGUUAUUGCUGACCAAAGCCUUAAUCUUCUUAAAAGAUGCAAUAACUGGCAUAGGCACAAAACCCUCAGGGUCUUUACUGAUGAAUCUCAUUAAAUGUUCGGUAGUAGCCAGGUUUACAUCACUAAAAUAGUAUUCCACCUGCUUCACGAUCUUCCGAGUGAGCUCCUCCGACAAGCAUUCUCUCUUUACGGGGGAAGGAUCAGGUUCAGCCGGCAGCAACAUCGCUUCCUGUUCUCCAAAUCCACCGCCGAGGUAGUCAAACACGUCAUAGCUCGCCGGCGGCGGAGCAAUGAGGUCCGAGCUCGGCGGCGUAAAGUGGAAAACAUGAUGCUGGAUCCUCGCCGGCGGAGCACGGGGGACGAACUCCGGCGCGGCGGCGUUGAGGCGGCUGGCGGAGGAACUGCGGGGGAGCGGAGGGGCGGCGUUGAGGCGGCUGUCGGAGGAACUGCGGGAGAGCGGAGGGGCGGCGGACUCCCAGGGAGGGGAUCGUUGAUCGAUGACGAUAGGGGUCGAGAUUUGUAGAGAUUGAUCGAGGAAUUGCUGCGCCAUUUUCUAGGGUUUACGAUGGGGAUCUGGGAGCCCAGGCGGGCG
rnacentral:misc_RNA from 1 species